CCAAAGACUGCAUGAAAGGAGCCAUGAUACUACGAUUCCCCAUGGCAACAACCACAAACAAACUGGUCAGCAUACU